GGAUCAACACUUGGUACCGCUCUGACAUGCCUGGCAGUCAUGAGGUCGAGGGUUCGAACCCCUCCAGAUCCACCA
rnacentral:tRNA from 1 species